GAUGAACGCUGGCGGCGUGCUUAACACAUGCAAGUCGAACGAUGAAGCUCAGCUUGCUGGGUGGAUUAGUGGCGAACGGGUGAGUAACACGUGAGUAACCUGCCCUUAACUCUGGGAUAAGCCUGGGAAACUAGGUCUAAUACCGGAUAGGAGCGCCUACCGCAUGGUGGGUGUUGGAAAGAUUUAUCGGUUUUGGAUGGACUCGCGGCCUAUCAGCUUGUUGGUGAGGUAAUGGCUCACCAAGGCGACGACGGGUAGCCGGCCUGAGAGGGUGACCGGCCACACUGGGACUGCGACACGGCCCAGACUCCUACGGGAGGCAGCAGUGGGGAAUAUUGCACAAUGGGCGAGAGCCUGAUGCAGCGACGCCGCGUGAGGGAUGACGGCCUUCGGGUUGUAAACCUCUUUCAGUAGGGAAGAAGCGAAAGUGACGGUACCUGCAGAAGAAGCACCGGCUAACUACGUG
rnacentral:rRNA from 1 species